rnacentral:rRNA from 1 species
GAUGAACGCUGGCGGCAUACCUAAUACAUGCAAGUCGAACGAGGCCCUUUGUAUUCGUACGAAGGUGUCCUAGUGGCGAACGGGUGAGUAACACGUAGGUGACCUACCCCUAAGCGGGGGACAACUCCGGGAAACUGGAGCUAAUACCCCAUGUUCUCCAUGGUGUUAGAGGACCAUGGAGCAAAGGAGCAAUCCACUUUGGGAGGGGCCUGCAGCCCAUCAGCUAGUUGGUAGGGUAAUGGCCUACCAAGGCUAUGACGGGUAGGGGACCUGAGAGGGUGGUCCCCCACACUGACACUGAAACACGGGUCAGACACCUACGGGUGGCAGCAGUAGGGAAUAUUGCACAAUGGGCGAAAGCCUGAUGCAGCAACGCCGCGUGCGCGAUGAAGGCCUUCGGGUUGUAAAGCGCUUUUCUGGGGGAAGAGGAAGGACGGUACCC